AUGAUAAUCUCUAGCUGCAUCCAUGUUGCUCCAAAUGACACUAUUUUGUUCUUUUUAUGGCUUAAUAGUAUUCCAUUAUAUAUAGGUAACACAUCUUCUUAAUCCAUUCAUCUGUCGAUGGACAUUUAGGUUGUUUCCAUAUCUUGGCCAUUGUGAAGAGUGUUGCUAUGAACAUGGGGUCAUGUAUCUUUUUGAAUUAUAGUUUUGUCUAGAUAUAUGCUCACAAGUGGGAUUGCUGGAUCAUAUGGUAAUUUUAUUUUUAGUUUUUUGAGGAACCUCCAUACUGUUUUAUAUAGUGGUUAUACCAAUUUACAUCCUUACAACAGUGUAGGAGGGUUCCCUUUUCUUCAUACCCUCUCCAUCAUUUGUUAUUUGUAGACUUUUUAAUGGUGACCAUUCUGACUGGCGUGAGGUGGUAACUCAUUGUAGCUUUAAUUUGCAUUUCUCUAAUAAUUAGUGAUGCUGAACAUCUUUUCAUGGGCCUAGUGGCCAGAUCUUGAAAACAUUUCAUUGAUGGUCAGAUUCUGAUUACCACCUUUUAAAGAACGGCCAAGCCUUAACCUGGCAUUUGUUUUUUCCCAUCUCUAGAGUCUCAAGAUCCAGUUUUGUGGUUCUCAGUACUGAAUUCUCAUCCGUGAGUGGAACCUUGUGUCUUUUGGAGGCAGGUGGCACAAGAAGAGAUAAAUAUGUAUGUGAGAAACAUAGCUCAGGUUGUAUAAGAGAUAACCUGAGCUAUGAGUCAGAUAAAGGCUUUGGAAGCUUUUGGAGGGCAGGGUCAAUUUAUCAGUUGACUUGACUAACAGCCUAGCAUGACCUGAUAAGACAGACCGCAUACUCUAUGGGAAUUCUAAUGUUUACAAUGAUUUCUGGAAAAUAUUCAGGGCAUGACAAAAAGAAAAAAAAAUUAUUUUCUUUCUCUCUUCACAUAUAGAUUUGAAUGCAUCAGGGAAGAAAGGCUUUUAGUAUGUCUUUUGCUGUUUGCUUAUUUCCAGGAAGCUAUCAUUCUGAACCAAAUGCCAAGUUAAUAACGGGAUUCAAUCUAAAAUCCUUCAUAUUUAGGAUGAGGUUGCACAGUGCUACUAAUCACUUUCCCAUAUUAUUAAUUAUGGGUUUGAGAUAAUUGAGGACGUAUCCAUCUUAGUCCUCACAGGAAAAGAUACUUUGAUCUUUGUAUUAAAAAACAUUAGUAGGUCAAACAGAAUUUUUGUGCCUGCAUAUGUCUGUAAAGCAGUCAGCAUACACAUCAGGGGUUUUCUACUUCAAAUAGGCUUUGGUCAAGCCACUCUAAAAUCAGGUAUCCCCGGGUCAUGAAGGCAACAGCAGAUGAAGAAUAUAAAUAUACCUGAGUUCCCUUUCUGGAUCUACUACUGACUUGCUGAGUGAGUAUACCUACUUCUUCAUGUAUUUGGGCACCAGUUUUCUCAACCCUAAAAUGAGGAAGCUCAAAUGGAUAGUCCCCAGAAAAAAGGUCCCCUCUGAUAUUCAGUGAAGCAGCCAUUUUCCUGUCUUAAAUUCUUUAGGAAUAGAAUUUCAUAUUUUCCUCAUUAAAUCUUUCCUCAGAUUUGACUGAGGACAUACCUGAAAAAGAGAUGAAACUCAAGAUUUUAAAGCAUGCACUAUCUCUGAUUCUAUGCCAUAUUUUGGCAGUUGUUAUGUUCCUAGUCCUCAGUGAGUAGAUGGAUGAGGGGUACCUCAUUCUCUUUGUUAGUAAUAAAAUAUAAUGCCUAUGUAUUAUUACUGCUUAGACUGAAUCAUAUGUUUUGAGGUAGGUUCUGAAUCAUAUGGCCUGAGGUGGACUUUUAUUUGUCCAACUUAUUGGUGGAAUUACAUUUGUUGAGUUUUAACCUCUUGAGACUUUUUCCUCUCAAUCAUAAAGUAGGGAUUAUAAUAUCAACCUCAUCAAGUAGUUUAGAAAAUCAACUAUGACAAGCCACAAAUGCAAUAUAUAGUGUGAAUGCAGUGUAGUCAUUACAGCUUUCUAUCCAAAACCCUUAAGGAACUGCAUUUAUAGAAGCAUCUGGAGGAAUGGGCAUGUUAAGAAAUGUUUUCUUUCUACUAGGGUGACUAUCAGCAAGUCUAUCCAGCUAACAUACAAAGACCAGGGUUCCCUACUUCUAUAUUACUUUGUUUCCCAAGAAUAUUCCCUUGAUGAGAAUAUAUUGACCUAAAAAAGCUUUAUUAUUGACUUUUUGUUUCCUUUAAGUGUCCCAAAUAGCCCCAUUUAGUUAACUCUUUGGGUUCAUUGGAUUGUUAAAAAGCGAUAAUUCGACAAAUUUUCAUUGAGCACCUACUGUGUUCUAGUUACAUAGUGAGGUGCAGUAGUGAGAACUAAGGCAUAUUUGGAAACUUCCCUUUUAUAUUGUCUGAGAGUUUGUUAAUCUGAAUGAAACUUCAAGGGGUUGCAGAAAUCCUCAGAACCUUGGGGAGUUGCAAUUAAAGUAGAGGGAUUAAGGAAGUCAGACGGACACUCAGACUGCCUAUCCUUUCAUUAAACCCUAUCUGUAGGAUGGCACCUACUGUUAUGUGAGAUGCUAAUUGCAGUCUGGUACCCUUUUCAGAGGUAAAAGGGAGCUGCAUCCUGGAGGGAGGGAAACUUGGUUUUCACACAAGGCCUCAUGGAUCAGUGAGACUUUGCCUUAUACAAAUUAAGCAUCUGAGGUUUUAUAUCUGUCCCAUAAGGAUUUAUUUUGGAAUUACUCUCUCCUUUUGUUAGAUCACCUGCUACUCCUCCAGGUGGACAAUAUGUCCCAUUCAGAAGCUCUCCCUUCACAUCUACUUUGUGUAGAGAAUGUUCAAAAACAUAUAUUAAUUUUUUAAUGGAGUUCUUGGUUUAUUAUACCAAUAUUCCCCUCUUUGCAUUUAUUAAGUACCUGCAGCAGAUAUGAAAAUUUUAUAUGAAAAUUGUCAGCUACAUCUUUUUUUGAUUAGACAUAUAUGUGUGUAUACACACAUACAUAAUCAUAUGCAUGCA
rnacentral:lncRNA from 1 species